GCGGUAAUGCGCCAAGUCAGUCCGCUUCCGUCGUUAAGCAGCCCAAGAAGAGAAGAAGCAGAAGAAGAAGUCGAAGUCGUCCGCGUUCGCGUGUGUUAAUUACAUCCAUGCUGUGGCGUCGUCUAUAGGAAUAGAGUGGUCAGAAACAACGCACUUUCAUCUGCAAACAUGGAGAGUCAUUUGAUUUUGAGCGCCCUUUUGAUGUGGUCCGUUUGGACCUCAGUCGCUGCGAAGGAGAUAAAGUUCAGCUGUUGUAACCUGCCAAUCAAAGUUCAAAUAAACCGCAGAAAUGAUAACGAGUUCUCCAUCGAAAGCAAGUCAGUGGCCAUUGCAACACCCUCCGUCUUUCAAGCUGAGGCUCCCUUUUCUGUCCAUGGAAACACAACACUGAGCCUGGACAAGUGUGUGGACUUUGAUCAGAAGACAGUUUUUGAUAAUGAGAAGGGUUCCUCAGACGAAAAUAUGAUCCACCACCACGGUCUGCCCUGCAACAGCACAGCCCCUCCAGACAAUCCACUACAGGGACACAAACACGCAGGUAAAGUGUCUCGAAAUGAUACGAUACUUGGGUUCUCUGUGAAGCAAGUACCAA
rnacentral:lncRNA from 1 species